UACGUAGGGGCCGAGCGUUGUCCGGAGUUAUUGGGCGUAAAGCGCGCGCAGGCGGCUUGGCGCGCCCGACGUGAAAGCCCCCGGCUUAACCGGGGAGGGUCGUCGGGUACGGCCAGGCUUGAGGGCGGGAGAGGGUGGUGGAAUUCCCGGUGUAGUGGUGAAAUGCGUAGAGAUCGGGAGGAACACCUGUGGCGAAGGCGGCAUCCUGGACCGGUAUUGACGCUGAUGCGCGAAAGCCAGGGGAGCAAACGGG
rnacentral:rRNA from 1 species